rnacentral:miRNA from 1 species
GUAUCUGACUGUGUGUGUCUGUGUGUGUGUGUUUGUCUGACUGUGUGUAGACACACACACAGUCAGACAAACACACACAGACACACACA